rnacentral:tRNA from 1 species
GGAGGGGUGACCGAACUGGUAAGGGCCCGGCCUUGAAAGCCGGGGAAGCCGCCUGAAGAGGGCGGUGUGCGGGUUCGAGUCCCGCCCCCUCCG